AAUUACUUAAUUGUUGCUUUCAGUUAGUUGUUUUUUUCAGUUAGUAUACUUUUUUCCCGACAGGUAAUUUAUCAUUGCAGUCACUUAAUAUACCCUGUCUGAACACCUCUUAACAUAGUAACAUAUGGAUGCAUUCAUGUAUGAUGUAGUUACAGUUACAAAUUGCAAGUACUUUUUUCCAGGCAAAUUGAUAAAAAAAGAAACCUAACAGAAUAAUUCAGCUCUUCGUAGAAAGAAGAACCUAGAAGUCCAAGUUGCUGUGACGAUUGGGUGUCAUUCGAAGCGAGGCCAAACUGCUGCGCUGCUAGUCGUCAGCUUGACCUCCCCGCGGACAGCAAGUGCUCAGCACAGUCUGCAUGACAGUGGUGGCAAGGUUAUAGUUAACACAGGCCAGUGAAGUACGGGCUGGCCGUCAUGGAGAGCGGGACACCCCCCUCCCCCACCAAGACCCAACCCCUCCUACCGAGGUGCGCCGAUGCUCUGCAUAACCUUCCACAUCCCGUGUAAUCAAAGACUCCACCUAAUUUGGGCCCCAGCCCACUGCUGUGGCAGGAAGCAGGGAGCUGCCCCUGACAGUGAUCGAUUCGACAGAAGGAAAGCCGCUAAUGACACUCGGCUUUGAUGGCUCGGCGACUUUCUCGCGCAUUCGCAGGCCCAUUCAUCAUCUCAGCAUUUAUCAUAAUGAGCGCUCGGUGUGGUACUUCCAGUCGUCAGAGGUGUUGUUCUUCGUUGGAGGGUUAGAGAGCGGAAGACCUGCUCACCUUGGUGAUCACAGGCCCCCGGAUGCCCAGGACCAGCGUGGCACACAAAAUGAAACCCAGUUGCCAGCCUAAAUUGGGCUAUUGCAACUGCGUGGCUAAUCCAUGAUGAGGACUAGGAAAUACCCGGAGCUGAAUCUCACACAUGGGGUUCGAGCAUGGCAUGAUCUAAGUACAGGUGAAAAUAAAACACUGCAUGUUUUCCUUUUGAAAGCGUAG
rnacentral:lncRNA from 1 species